rnacentral:misc_RNA from 1 species
GGAGGGAUCAUUAACACACAAAAUUAUCCAUUUUUGGGGAGCUGAUCAAAAAAGACUUCUUUUUACUAAGGGGGAAAUUUGGUUUUGCUUCUUAAACAACGUGAAGUGUUCAAGUUUGUAACUUUUGUCAUGGACUUUGGUUCAUAACAAGAGUUUCUCUUUGUAGACCACUUUUAAAAAUUGCCUGAUAUUUUUAAAGAACUGUGUGUAAAUAAAUUUCGUUUCUCUUGUUUUUUUUCUUCUUUUCAACUCUUAGGAGCCAUAAGGAAAAUUUAAACAAAGAGUCCCCUUUUAUAAUAAACACAGUACGAAAAAAAAAGAUAAUGAACCAAAAAACAACUUUUAACAACGGAUAUCUUGGUUCUCGCAACGAUGACGAGCGCAGCGAAAUGCGAUACUUAGUGUGAAUUGCAGAAUUCAGUGAAUCAUCGAGACCUUGAACGCAAAUUGCACUCACAGGUUCUCCUGUGAGUACAUCUGUUUGAGUGUCGACUCAAUAUCAUCAAUAAAAAACCUCUAAAAGGGUUUUUUUUUACUGGUGGAAAUGGCGGUCCAAGAGAAGAAAUUCACUUGGUCACCUUAAAUAGAGUAAUUUUUUUGACUAACCACAUGAAGAAAUAGCCAUCUUCUAGUCAUAUGAAAAUAGUGUUGUAACUUUACUCGAAAAGAGUUUUGAGAAUCACUACUAGUAAAAGACUGGGUUAAAAGGGUGAGAAAGUUCCUCAUAGUCAAUAAUAAUAAAAAGGAUGAAAAAAAAUUUAAUAAAUUUUUUUAAUAAAAAAACUAGAAAAACUUCGACCUCAAAUCAGAUGAGAACACCUGCUGAACUUAAGCAUAUUAAUAAGCGGAGGAAAAGAAACUAACAAGGAUUCCCCUAGUAACUGCGAGUGAAGUGGGAUAAGCUCAAGCUUAAAAUCUGAGGCGGUCUACGUCUCCGAAUUGUAGUUUUGUGAACGGUUUCACGGGCAGAUUGCUGUAGUAUAAGUCCUCUGGAACGAGGUGCCAAAGAAGGUGAUAGCCCUGUGCAUGACUAUAGUGUAAAAUUCGAUCUGUCAACACGUGUUGCUAGUUCAAAGAGUCGGGUUGUUUGGGAGUACAGCCCAAAGUGGGAGGUAAAUUCCUUCUAAAGCUAAAUAAUGGCGAGAGACCGAUAGCGAACAAGUACCGUGAGGGAAAGAUGCAAAGAACUUUGAAAAGAGAGUUAAAAGUGCUUGAAAUUGUUAAAAGUGAAGCGAUUGAAAGCAGUACAUAUCAGCUAUCAACUCAUUCAUUUAUGUAGUGUUGGUGCAGUGUUGUUGAGUGAUCCUUCGUGGUCAUCGCUGCAUUGUGUUCCUGGCAUUGCAUUAGUGGAGCAUUUUGGUGGUUUGAUGAGUCAAUAUCAGUGAGCGAGAGUGAGAGAAUGACUUGGAGGAGGUGACAUGUUGGUGAUCUUCGGGUUGCUAUACGUGUGUUAAACUUCGAGUAAAUAUCAUUUUCCUCACUGAGGCAACCUAUGGUUGAUAACUAGCGCCUUUUUGGCGGAGUAAGAGUGGGAUUUGAGUUAUGUCAGCGGUGGGGACAGCUUGCUGUGCCUGUUGUAUGUAUAUGAUUCAUAUUUUAUUCACUACCUGCUAGUUAGAGAUAUUGACCGAAUGUUUCCAAUCGUCCCGUCUUGAAACACGGACCAAGGAGUCUAACAUAUGUGCGAGUGAAUGAGUGGCAAACUUAAACGCGUAAUAAAAGUGAGAGGUGGGAGUCGUUAAGACGCACCAUCGACCAAUCUUGAUAUAUUUGGAUAGAUUUGAGUUGGAGCAUAUAUGUUGGGACCCGAAAGAUUGCGAACUAUGCUUGCAUAGGGUGAAGCCAGGCGAAAGUCUGGUGGAGGCUCGUAGCGAUACUGACGUGCAAAUCGUUCGUCAAAUGUGUGUAUAGCGGCGAAAGACUAAUCGAGCAAUCUAGUAGCUGGUUUCCUC